rnacentral:rRNA from 1 species
UAGGGAAUCUUCCACAAUGGACGCAAGUCUGAUGGAGCAACGCCGCGUGAGUGAAGAAGGUUUUCGGACCGUAAAGCUCUGUUGUUGGUGAAGAAGGAUAGAGGUAGUAACUGGCCUUUAUUUGACGGUAAUCAACCAGAAAGUCACGGCUAACUACGUGCCAGCAGCCGCGGUAAUACGUAGGUGGCAAGCGUUGUCCGGAUUUAUUGGGCGUAAAGCGAGCGCAGGCGGAAGAAUAAGUCUGAUGUGAAAGCCCUCGGCUUAACCGAGGAAUUGCAUCGGAAACUGUUUUCUUGAGUGCAGAAGAGGAGAGUAGAACUCCAUGUGUAGCGGUGGAAUGCGUAGAUAUAUGGAAGAAUACCAGUGGCGAAGGCGGCUCUCUGGUCUGCAACUGACGCUGAGGCUCGAAAGCAUGGGUAGCGAACAGGAUUAGAUACCCUAGUAGUCCAUGCCGUAAACGAUGAGUGCUAAGUGUUGGGAGGCUUCCGCCUCUCAGUGCUGCAGCUAACGCAUUAAGCACUCCGCCUGGGGGAGUACGACCGCAAGGUUGAAAC